ACGUAGGACGCAAGCGUUAUCCGGAAUUACUGGGCGUAAAGCGCGCGCAGGCGGGUUACCAAGUCUUUCGUGAAAGCUCCCGGCUAAACUGGGAGAGGUCGGAAGAUACUGGUAGCCUAGAGUAUGGCAGAGGAGUGUGGAAUUCCGCGUGUAGUGGUGAAAUGCGUAGAGAUGCGGAGGAACACCAGUGGCGAAGGCGGCACUCUGGGCCAAAACUGACGCUGAGGCGCGAAAGCAUGGGUAGCGAACGGG
rnacentral:rRNA from 1 species